CUCCGCGCUGCUGCAGCGCCGCCACCACAGCGCGCAGCUGGCCCCGCGGCUGCCGCCGAAGCCCCCGCCGGCCGCGGUGGCGCCGCGCACCUAGCGCCCGCACGCGCCGCGUCGGGGCCCCCGCCCUGGCGCCCCACCGUUUGGAGUCCUACUGCCUUGUGCCCUACUGUGUGAGGCCUUACUGCACUGCGUCCUGCUGAGUCACUACCUAUGUGGAAAGGUCCUACUGUGUUGGGGCCUGCUGGAAGCGUCCCUUGUUGGGUCCUACUGCCAUGCGUCUACCUACACCUGGCCCGACUGCCGUGUGCCCUACUGCGUAGGGCCCUACUGAUACCGUGUCAGGCCCUACAGCCGAGUGUCCUACUCAACCAGGGUCUACUGCCGUGUGUCCUACUGAGAAGAGACCUACUGCGGGCUUUACGAAGCCAUACUGCGUGAUGUUCGACUAAGAUAAAUCUCACUACAGUGGGUCCUACUGAAGAUUCAUACUGCAAUUUAAAAAAAAGUGUUUUUUUAUGUCGCCCUAUAAAUCCUACUGCAAUAGCUAUUGAAAUACUACUGCGGUCAGCUAUUCAAUAGUAGGUACAAUUACAUAAUAUCCUACUGCGGCCAAAACGACUGUAUCAUAGUAAAUCCUACUGCGGUAUCGUGUGCAAUAUGUAAAAUAUUACUAUAAUAAUUUAUGUUGUGUUUUUCUUUGCCUUCAAAAACUUGUUAAACUAAAAUGUUACAUGAAUAUUGUAUAGAUAAAA